rnacentral:rRNA from 1 species
GCGCACCAGUCGCGAAUACUUUACAAUGUGCGAAAGCACGAUAAGGGAACUCUGAGUGCCUCCUAAGGAGGCUGUUCAGGUGUCUAAAAGCACCUGAAGGAAGGGCUGGGUAAGACCGGUGCCAGCCGCCGCGGUAACACCGGCAGCCCAAGUGGUAGCCACGUUUAUUGGGUCUAAAGCGUCCGUAGCCGGCUGGGUAAGUUCCUUGGGAAAUUUGGCUGCUUAACAGUCAAGCUUUCAGGGAAUACUGCCCGGCUUGGGACCGGGAGAGGUCAGAGGUACUCCAGGGGUAGGGGUGAAAUCCAUUAAUCCUUGGGGGACCACCGGUAGCGAAGGCGUCUGACCAGACCGGGUCCGACGGUGAGGGACGAAGGCUAGGGGCGCGAACCGGAUUAGAUACCCCCGUAGU